CUCUAUCCCUCGCCCGGGGCCGCCCUCCCUGCCGCUCCCUUAGGGGCUCUGCGACACCCGCCUCCGGGGGCGCCCCGCCCCCCGCCGCGCGUGCCUGGUUACGACAUGGCGCUAACGGCCCCUCCGGCCCGCCGAGCUCUGUUUUCUGCGGCGGCUUCGCUACUGCUGCUGGGGGCGGCGGCAGGAAGCUCUCAUUUCUUGGAUAAGACUCAACUCACAAAGAAAGGAGAUGCACACUUGAAACAAGAAGGUAUAAUUAGAAUGCACAACUCAGUGGCUCUCUCUGAACCCAUGAAAAUAACAUCUAUCCCAGAUGUUCCACAAACACCUCAUCAAAUACUUGGAAAAGAAAACUCCACUGUGAUUGUACUUCUGUAUUCCAUGGAAAUAAGAUUCACCUCUAUCAA
rnacentral:lncRNA from 1 species